CAGUAGCAGCCCUUCUCCCUUUUUCUUCUUUCCUUUUCUCUCUUCCCUCCCCCUCACUCACGCACACUUCAUUUCUUCCUCUUUCUUUUCCUUCUUCUUCCCACUCAGCCGAACCACCUCUCCCUCUCUUUUCUCUUCUUCUUCCUUCGGUCACGCCUGAACUUGCAACACCCAAACCAUUAUUUCUUCCUUCUCUUCUCCCUUAGUCUCUCUUGUCACGCACCUGUUGACUCGUGAGAGGGCUUGAGCCGUGAGGGAGCUGCUGAGCUAGAGGAUUUUCUGCAGAAAAUUUGAGAGGAAAAAUGCGAAAAAUGUAAUGGAUAGUGUCUGGAUUGGAGACUUUAAUGGGUUCUCCAAUGUAGAGUUCGAGUCAUGUGUCCAAUGUAGCCAAGAUGUAGUUUCUUUGGCUGCAGGUAUUUUGGUCGUAAUUAAUGAUGUUGUAGAAGUGUACUUGAGAUAUUAUGACUGAAGCUCGCCGCGACAGUUGUAAUUGUCAGACCAUGGGUUGUCCACUAUUCUAUAGGCAAGUGUUUGGAUUGGGGACUUCAAUGGGUUCUCCAAGGUAGAGUCCAAGUGACCAGAAUCCAAUGGAAUGGUCGAGUCAUGAGUCCAAGGCAGCCAAGAUGAUGUUCAUUUGGCUGCAGGUACUCCAGUCGUAGUUGAUGGGGUUGUAGAUGUGCAUUUGAGAUAUUAUGACUGAAGCUCGCCGCAACGGUCGUAAUUGCGGGACCAUGAGCGUCCUCAGUUUCAUAGGUUUUGUUUAUGGCUUGUGACGCCUGUGUCACUUGUUAUUGUAUAAAGCCAUCUUUGUUAUGUAAUUAUAUUGAGGACAGACUUAAAUAGAUAGAUGUUAAAUGGCUCUUGUUAUAAUUAAUUUGUGAUUUCCGCUA